rnacentral:rRNA from 1 species
AGCGAACGCUGGCGGUAGGCCUAACACAUGCAAGUCGAACGGCAGCACAGUACGUGCUUGCUCUUCCCGGUGGCGAGUGGCGUACGGGUGACGAAUACAUCGGACUCUACUUUUUCGUGGGGCUUCACGUAGGGAAACUUACUAUAAUAUCGCAUCUGCCCUUCGGUUGUAAGCAGUGGAACUUCGCACCUUGCGCGGUUGAAUGAGCCGAUGUCGAGUUAGCUAGUUGGCGGGGUAACGGCCCACCCAGGCGGCGAUCCGUAGCUGGUCUGAGAGGAUGAUCAGCCACACUGGAACGGGGACACGGUCCAGACUCCUACGGGAGGCAGCAGUGGGGAAUAUUGGACAAUGGGGGGAAGCCUGAUCCAGCCAUAGCGCGUGGGUGAAGAAGGCCUUCGGGUUGUAAAGCCGUUUUGUUGGGAAAGAAAAGCAGCAGGUUAAGACCCCGCUGGUCUGACGGUAACCAAAGAAUAAGCACCGGCUAACUUCGUG